GGGCCCGCACAAGCGGAGGAACAUGUGGUUUAAUUCGAUGAUACGCGAGGAACCUUACCCGGGUUUGAACGCAUUUGGAUCGACGGUGAAAGCCGUUUUCUAGCAAUAGCCAUUUGCGAGGUGCUGCAUGGUUGUCGUCAGCUCGUGCCGUGAGGUGUCGGCUUAAGUGCCAUAACGAGCGCAACCCUUACCGUCAGUUACCAUCAAGUAAAGUUGGGGACUCUGGCGGGACUGCCGGCGUAAGCUGUGAGGAAGGUUGGGAUGACGUCAAAUCAGCACGGCCCUUACAUCCGGGGCGACACACGUGUUACAAUGGUAAGGACAGAGGGCAGCCACCUGGCGACAGGGCGCGAAUCCCAAUAAACCCUUAUCUCAGUUCGGAUCGGAGUCUGCAACCCGACUCCGUGAAGCUGGAUUCGCUAGUAAUCGCGCAUCAGCCAUGGCGCGGUGAAUACG
rnacentral:rRNA from 1 species